rnacentral:rRNA from 1 species
CCCUGAGAUGUUCUGGGCUGUGCGCGCGCUACACUGAUGCGUUCAACGAGUUUAUCACCUUGCCCGAUAGGGUUGGGUAAUCUUUUUUAAAAUCGCAUCGCGAUGGGGAUAGAUUAUUGCAAUUAUUAAUCUUCAACGAGGAAUUCCUAGCAAGCGCGAGUCAUCAGCUCGUGCUGAUGACGUCCCUGCCUUUGUACACACCGCCCAUCGCUCCUACCGAUUGAGUGAUCCGGUGACUAGUUGGGACUGCAGCAGUGUUCAUUUCCUGAACGUUGCAGCGAAAAGUUUAGUGAACCGUAUCACUUAGAGGAAGGAGAANUCGUAAAA